rnacentral:sRNA from 1 species
AACUGACUGGGCAGCCUUUCAGGGAAGAUGCAGCCACUCCUGCUUCUGCUGGCCUUUCUCCUACCCACUGGGGCUGAAGCAGGGGAGAUCAUCGGAGGCCAGGAGAGCAGGCCCCACUCCCGCCCCUACAUGGCGUAUCUUCAGAUCCAGAGUCCAGCAGGUCAGAGCAGAUGUGGAGGGUUCCUGGUGCGAGAAGACUUUGUGCUGACAGCAGCUCACUGCUGGGGAAGGUGAGGAGCUAAGGAACUUCCUGGGCAGCCAGGAACACAGCCCUGGGGAGCUCUUCGGAGGAAGAGCCAUCUGAAAGAAGAGCUGUAGCAAUGAAAGGGUGAAAGAAAGACCAAGUGAGUCUUUGCGGGAGGGAACAGGCCAGUGUAAAUGAGGAGGAAAGGAGGAUAAGAUCAAAAAGAGCAAGAGGAAGAGAUGGAAGACACAUAUUGGGGCUCAAAAUAUAAACUCAGGCUAUUUAUCAAUUUAAUCUGGGGAAGCAAACCUGAAGGCAACUACCACCCUGUCAUCCCUAGCUCAGAGCUGCUGAGAAAGAGGAUACAGCUGAGCCCCAGGGCCUCCCAACCCCUCGAUUCUGGUUAGCUGCAGUCUUGCCCUCCCCGUGCUGUCUGCCUACCCUGCAGAGCUGGUGGACCAUAGCUCCUGCAGCCCAGACCUACCUCUUGCUUUUGCAGCAAUAUAAAUGUCACCCUGGGCGCCCACAAUGUCCAGAGACGGGAAAACACCCAGCAACACAUCACUGCGCGCAGAGCCAUCCGCCAUCCUCAAUAUAAUCAGCGGACCAUCCAGAAUGACAUCAUGUUAUUGCAGCUGAGCAGAAGAGUCAGACGGAAUCGAAAUGUGAACCCAGUGGCUCUGCCUAGAGCCCAGGAGGGACUGAGACCCGGGACGCGGUGCACUGUGGCCGGCUGGGGCAGGGUCAGCUUGAGGAGGGGAACAGAUACACUCCGAGAGGUGCAGCUGAGAGUGCAGAGGGAUAGUCAGUGCCUCCGUAUCUUCGAUUCCUACGACCCCCGAAGGCAGAUUUGUGUGGGGGACCGCCGGGAACGGAAGUCUGCCUUCAAGGGGGACUCCGGAGGCCCCCUGCUGUGUAACAAUGUGGCCCACGGCAUCGUCUCCUAUGGAAAGUCGUCAGGGGUUCCUCCAGAAGUCUUCACCAGGGUCUCAAGUUUCCUGCCCUGGAUAAGGAGAACAAUGAGAAGCUUCAAACUGCUGGAUCAGAUGGAGACCCCCCUGUGACUGACUCUUCUUCUCGGGGACACAGGCCAGCUCCACAGUGUUGCCAGAGCCUUAAUAAACGUCCACAGAGUAUAAAUAACCAAUUCCUCAUUUGUUCAUUAAACGUCAUUCAGUA